GAUCCACCCACCUCGGCCUCCCAAAGUGCUGGGAUUACAGGCAUGAGCCACCGCGCCCAACCCCCAUGUUAUUUCUUAAAGGAUAUCCUCAUCUUCCAGUUAUUUCUCAAUCCUUUCGGUCUGGUUUCCUUGCUAUUAUGAAAACAGCUCUUAUUAGGGUGACCCGUGGCUUUCUCGUCACUAAUUCCAUGGGCAUGAAACUUUAUUUACUGGUGGUCGACUUCUUCUCAACAUCACACCACUAUCCCUCUGCUUUUCCGUCAACCUUUCUGGCCUUGUCUUAGUUUCCUUUGAAGGCUCAUCCUCCUUUACCUUACCUGUAAUUGACAAUUCAUCAAGACUCCGCGCUUGGUCUUUUCUCACUCUCCUCUCGCGCUAGGUUGGCCUCAUCUUUGACCGUGUCUUCAGUACCAUCUAUCUCCUGUCGAGUCUCAAACUUGUUUCUCCAUCUGGGACCUCUUCUUUAAGCCCCAACCCUAUGUAUCUCCAGUUGUUUAUCUCACAGGCACCUCAGGCUCAGUUUAUGUCCACACCGAACCUGUGCUUCCUCCUCACUCACACUUCCCUCCAAACAAAAGUCAGUUCUUUCCUGGUAGUUUCAGAAUGGCCCCACAAUCCAAAAGCCCGUGAAUCAUUCUUGACUCCCUGUACCGUCACUGCCCCCCGUGCCAUCCUUCACCCUUUCCUGUUAUGCCCUUUUCUAUUCUGGGAAUAUCUCCCAUUGUGAGUCAUCUGGGUGGGUGACAGUUCCCCAGCUCCCACUAUGAAAGACAAAGGGGCUAACAUCCUCCUUCUCUCUGUCUCCUGGCAGCUGACACAGUGCCUGUGACAUGACCUUGGUUUAUUGGCUAUGUCUACCAAAAACUUUGAAUAUUGAGAGUAAAACCAAGAAGAUACUAUUAGAAGUCAUUCAUGAAUGUAUCAGUGGAGUACUGGCUGUAUUGAUCCUGCUUCUUUUUUCUUAACUUUCUUGGUUAAGAAACUAUCUUGGUUCCUGCCCCUGGAAUUUCCAUGCUGGUGUGCUAGUCCCCAGUGGAUUUAUCCUGUAAAUGCCCCCAUUUGCUUAAGAUACUCAGAGAAGGAUUUUGUUAUUUGCCACCAGAAAAGUUGUGACCAAUACAGGCACUGAUGUUCCUGGUGGAUUCAGAUGCCAUCACAAAAUUUUCUCCACUGAUUGAAGACCCAGCCGCAGAAUGCACAAAAUAGCUCUGAAGAUCUUUAUCUUGAGGAUAAAAUAAUAGCUCCCUCCAGUUCAGAAAGCAGACUUGCCACUGUUUGCUAUAAAAUGGCAGGCUCCUCAGGCUCAGUGUUGUUCACCUGCCAUGCAAAGCCACUGUAUGUGUGGCAUCCACCUGUGCCCCAUCCAGCACAUUGUCUUCGUGGGCUAAGGGCCACAGUGGCGGAUGCAGACAUGCUUGUGCUCACGUUGUUGACUGCUCUGUGGAUCAUAAAGUGCUGCGCUCUGACCCAGGAGGCUCGUGUCCUGUGCCAGCAUCCACAAAACAGUAACAGUUUAACUUACUAACUUGCAAGUCGGGGAAAAAGUCCAGACAUAACAUUAACUAUUUCCUAUCAGCCAGCAUAGUACUUGGCCUAAAGCAGAUGUUCAGUAUUUGUGAAACAAACGGAUGGUUGGCUAGAUAGAAAGCAGAUGGACUUUGAGCUCUGCUUAAGGUGUUGCAGGGAUCAAACUUUUUCAGAAAUGCCAGCCCUAUUCUGGAAUGAUUCUGGAACUGUGGGGAAGACAAUUGAGGAGAACUGAAGAUUAUCUUGACCUGAAGUUUCUCGUCCUUUGUUUGUAAGUAGAGUUUUAGGAUCUGCCAGCUCCUCUUCUGAUAGUAAACUGUCUGAUAUGAGCAGUCCUGGAGACAGUUGUAUUUUAUUCUGAAUUACCUGAAUGAGUCUGAUGUCCCCAACACCCAGCUAAGCUCAGCAGUGAUGCAUGGGUUGGACUGAUGUGGGAAGUAGGCAGCCUGGAGUGGCAGAGACCUGGGUUCUAUUUUAAAAGGGAAUUCUGGGUAUCCCUGGGUCUCUUAGGGAGUGAGGGAGGGGAAACUGGGAAGUGAGAAAGGGAAGUGGGACAGCAGCAAAGCCGAAGUUAGCCUCAAGUUCUCCCCAAAGGCCAGGUGGCUGUAACUGGGGACAACGUUGCAGAAAUUCAUCUCUGAAGCAGCUGAGGCCAGAAUACUUCAGACAACUGUCCCUGCUAGGAAAGCCUGUUCCCCUUUCACAGAUAGCACUGCUUUUCCUAACACAAGCCCAGUUCUUACACAUAGAUAAAACUGUCUUUGGGAUAGAGUGAAAAGAGAAUGAGAAUGUUAGAUUUAUAACUAUUGAGAUGUAUUGAAAGUUGAAUAAUGUGCAGAAAGCAAAUCACUCUACACAGAAAGAGAGGGUGACAGAAGGGUUCUUGGAGAGGGCAAGCAUGGGAAGAAUUAUCUAGGGUUUGAUGAGGUUUUCAGUGAGGGCUUUAUCAUCCCCACAGGGGCAAUAUUGAUUGUUGGGAGACAAAAAGGAACUUAGAUAUUCGAUGGUUUGUGGCCUUCAGAGGACUUCAAUUGUACAUAAACAGACAGCAUAUCCGUGGUAUUGAAAUUUCAGGAUGGGAGGGAGAUUAGGGGGAAAUACCUAAAAUGUCUCCUUACAGGGGCGAUAAUGAGAAGCAAUGGACUAGAGGAUUCAAGUUGAAGAGUUUUGACCACCAGUGAGUCCUCCUGGGAAAGUGAAUUGGAAGCAAGCUAAGUGCAUUUUCUCAGCAGAAGGAAGAUGAGCUUACAUGUCACCUAGUGAAUAUCCAGUUGGGAAUCUGAAAGCACCGUGGGCAGCUGAGCUGUCCCCCACAGCUGUUCAGCAGGCAAUGUGCUUACAUGCUCCAGGCAAGGUCAAUGUGCUCAGGAUGCAGCUGAUAGCCUCAGGCACCAGACCAGUCUCCAGACACAGCAAUAGGAUGGUGGCAAUAGAGGGUGGAAGUCAAGCUUUCAGGAAUUAGCUCACCCACUUUCUUCCUCCCUUUCUGUUCUGUUCUCGUCUCCCUCCUGUCCUACACUCCUUUCUGCUUCGCUCAUUCAUUUUUGUUUGCUACAUGCAGGGGAAUCAGGAGCAGUGUUCAUCAGUGAAUGAAAGGAGUGCUGGAAAGAGAACCACAUGCUGACAUGAAAGUAAGAAAGAACCUUUAAUCGUAAGAUUUUAGUGUGGAAAGCCAGAUGAUGCACUCUAACAUCUGUGAAAUCAAAUCAAAAUGCAAAUUGAUUUUUGGCUUACCUAAUCCAUGUUUCUUUCUGGAUAUGUGUUCACUGGGACACGCAACUCCUUAACAGAAUAAGACUGAAGACAGUUUCAAGUACAGACAGUAUAGUUCCAAUCCCACAGGUAUUCAGCCUUGGAAAUGGCUUCUGGUCUCUGGGCUUAAAAGACUAGACUUGCUAUCAGUUUGAAAAUGGCAGUGUUGUGGAGGGGCUCUUCACGUUAGGAAGGAUGGCCUGACAGAGUCUCCUUUUUUCUCUUACCCUAUCCCUGAUGCUUAUUAAGGCAGUGCUGGAGGAAAAAGUUCUCAUUAGGUAACAGGAAUUAAUACUGAGUACUGUUUAAAGUGCUUUACUCUUAUUAAUUCAUUCAGUCACAAUCAGACAGUCUUGCAAAGGGGGCACUGUUUUAUAAACUUGUAUGGAUGGGGAGCUCAGGUACAGAAAAGCUAGGUCAUUUGUCCAAGGUCACACAGCUUCUGGUAGCAUUAGGAUUUGAACCCAGAUCCUCAGUCCCCAGAGAACUUGGCACAAUAGUGUCUUCUAAUGUGCCCUCAGCUAAUUCUUGCACUUAUUGAUGUCUUUGAACUCAUGGAUGAAUAGGUUUAAAAUUGCUUUUAACACAAUGUACUUUGGUGUGAGUCUUAUUUAAAUAGAACAAUGUGCCAGCCACCAGACCUCACCCACAGUUGAAUCCUUUGGCCAUUUACAUAAUGGAUUAAUUACUGGACACAUGCUGCCCUCUUGUGAUGAAAGUCACUCAGUUGCAACCUUCUUCACUUCUCUGGAAUGCACCCAUUUACUUCCUUUUGUCCAGUCUCAUGGUUUGGGGAUGGAGUAUUUGCAGCCAGUGAUGAAGCUGUUGGCUCUGUAGAGUCAAGAUGUCACCUGCCAUUCUGCAGGGCGCUCCCAGCCUGUAACUCCAGUCAUGAGACAUGACCCCAGAGUCUAACUUUUAGCACCUGGAUAUAGGAAAAAGAUCAGGCUUCCUGAAGAAAUCCUAGGAACAUUAAAGAGACCGGAUCCGUGUCCUUGGGGAAAGAGUUUCAUUUUGCUUAACUUGCCCUAGUAGAUUGGAACCAGUGAUAGUGACAGGAGGCAGCCAAAUGCCUAGGCAAAUGGGGCAGGUCCCAGGUGAAGCCCUCCCUUAAAGCCAAAAAACAGCCUGAGGGCUCAAAGACUGGACUGCUGGUCCCCGGUGAAAGCCAUGACCCAGAGUCAGAACUUGUGUUCCUUUUUUCUCUCCCUUUCCUGAUUGAUUCUUUCUGAAUAAUGUUUUUAGCCAGUCAAAUGUUGCCUUUUCCAAUACUACCUAUGACCUGCCCCUCUCCCAUUCUGAGCCCAUAAAAGCUCCAGACUCAGCCACCAUGUGGGGCGCUUCCCCACCUUCAGGUAGGGGGACUAUCCCUGUGUCCCCUCUCCACUGAAAGCUGUUUAAUCAUUCAAACUCCCUGCCUUGCUUACUCUUCAAUUGUCAGUGUAUCCUCGUUCUUCUUGAACGUGGGACAAGCACUUGGGAACCAGUGCACAAGCCAGACUUGGCCUAGGUGGGCCAUUUCCUGCAGCAGGUAGCAUGACUUAGCAAGGCCCAGGUGGAGUGUCUCUGACCAGAGGUCCCCAGCUUGCAAAGUGACCAAGAAAAAAGUCCUGUGUCACCAGGUAGCAGGUUUGGCAGAAAGGAGGUCAGUUGCAGAGUGACCUGAAGGUCACAAACCCUACCAGAGCAUAGGGAAAAUAAAACCAGACAGAAGCCCUGUGUUCUAGUUCUUGUUCUUCCAGUAAUUAAAGUGACCUUGGGUAAGUCUCUUUUGCUCUCUGAUACCAGUUUUCUCACUGGGAAAAUGAGGAGAUUGAAAUCUUAGAUAUUGCCAGGCAAAACAUUCUGCCUUUGCCUAUAUUCCUUGCCUGAAGAGUUUAUUUUGCUUUUUUCAUUUUUAUACAAAUCUUGAUUAAUAAGAUAUAUAUUCAUAUUAUUAGUCCUCGGUUUCCUCAUUCAGGAAAUAAUUCUACUUCAUAGGGUUGUUGGGAGGAAGAAGUUUUUAUUUGGCAUGAUGUUCAUGGGUUAAUCUGGCUGGGUUUAUUUAGGCAAAGCAAGGAUACAUACAUUUAUAAACAAAAAGUUUUUAAAUCAAGGAAAACUUGAUUUUAAAGAUUCUGACACUUGCACACUAGUAAGUGGUUAUCUUCAAUAGUGCCACUUUAAAACAGAUGUGUUGAUUUAUUCUUCCCUGCAGCCAGUCAUUAGACAUAGCACAUGUAUAUGUGUGGGCAGUACCUGAACACUGGUCUGGUCUGAUGGUUGGGGCAGGGAGUUUUAUUCUAUUCAAAGGAGACACUGCUGGCUUCACAUUACAAUUUUCACUUGCUUGCAAACUUAUUACACCCUUAACAUAGGUUUAAAAAUAUUUCAUAGCAAGGAUAUGGUUUUUUUGUUUUGUUUUUCUUUUGAGAUAGGGUCUCACUCUGUUGCCCAGUCUCACUUACAGCCUUGACCUCCUGGGUUCAAGCAGUCCUCCCACCUCAGCCUCUGGAAUAGCUGGGACCACAGCUAUACAUCAUUAUACCCAGCUAAUUAAUAGCAAGAAUCUUUGCCUUGAUAAUCUCAUUCCAAAGAAAUAACCAUAAAGACUUUUAAUUCCAUAGAAAUAGUGUCUAUAGUGACCACCACCACAAUCAAUCUGGAAACUUGAAGGUCUAACCUGAAUGUCUGGAAUAUUAUUAAGCAAAUUCUCAAACUGGUAGAAUAUAAUCAUAAAUGAUUAUAAAGCUAACAAUGUGAGAAAAUGUUUGACAAAAAGAACUGUUAAUGUACUCUGUGAUUAUAACUGUAAAAAGAGGUCUCAAAGUAGGCAAAGCAUGGAAGAUUAUAUACAAAAAUUAAAAUAGCUGUGUUAGUGUUGUUAUUAUAAACGUUAAAUUUUUCCCUUUAACAUUAUUACAUUAUUGACAAAGCCUAUCCCCCCUAAAGUGGAAUAUUUUCCUGUUUGGUGCCACAAAGCCAAUACACAAAAUCAAAAGUGUGCAUCUACCAGUCCAGGCUUUAUUUGAUGCCCAUAGAAUUGAUAAUUGGGAGCCUGGUGCAUAAAUCAACUUCUCAGUCCAUGAGAGACAGGCCAUCUCCUAUGACAGCCAAGAAAUCACAGAUAUAGGAUAUCCCCCAUGAGAGCCAGGAAGUCAUGGUUAUGGGGCAUCUUUAAUGAAGGGGUCGGGGAAUUAAAAGCAAGGUGAAGAAUAUUCAUGUCUUUUCUGGGAAUGAGAUAACUUCUCCGAACCAGAGUUUUUGUCCCCCUUGUUUUUCCUUUUAUGGUUUCUUCUGGUCAUUGUCAUGGUGAUUGUCAGUUGUCAUGGCACUGGUGGGAGUGUCAUUUAGCAUGGAAAUUAGAUUAUAAUGAUGUUAGAGGUUCUUCAAAGGUCAAGUUAGCUGCUAUCUUGGAUCCCACCACUCUUGUCUGGUUUGGUCAUGAUGGGGAGCUUUUGACCACAGACUUCCUGUUUCCUAAAGAUAGGCAGAGUUAAGGUGGGGAGAAAUUUACUUAGGUCACAUAGGCGUUACACUGGGUAACAACAUUACUUUGAUAACACAAAUAAACACACUUUAUAACAAAAAAAAGUCAAGGAAAAAAUUGAGACACUUUAAUAUUUGUUAUUGGCCUGAAAAAGCACCUAGGCAGUCAUGGGGAAAAAUCAGAAACUUGUUUAACAUCUUGGACUUAUUUUAUAAUUUACUAUUUAAAUUUUUUAUCAUAGAUCAGAGGGGCCUAUAACCUUUUCAGUACUUAAUGUCUCUAAGAGUCUUAAGCUGGUCUCGGGUGCAGCUCAUUCGAUUUUAAGGUUGAGAGAGCAGUGCUGGGAUGUCCCCUGGUAACAUGAGUCUCAGCCUCCUCACAAGGCAAUUCUACUUUCAUUAAAAUUCUUCUUUUUGAACCUGGGUUAAUGGUCAUGGUUUUACCUUUCAGCUCUAGAACAAGGUUUUUUCCUGUAAGUAAGCAAUUGGUUACUGCAAACAGACCUUUGGUCCACCUGGAAGUGAAACAAAAUAGGGACAAGCAGAAAGCUCCUUCCCACUUGGCAAAGGCUCGUGGGCCUGGCUCCGUAGGGCGGUGCCAGCUCCUGCUCUGUUCUUCAUUGAGCAGUGAAGACACAGGUGCCCCCUGUGUUCAGUGAGUUGACACUUAAUGGCAGUAUGCUCUUUGGUAAUAAUAAUGAAAACUACAGGCUGUGCUUUUCACUGACAAAGGUAGGCUAUUGCAGGAAGCUUGAUGUUGAGUAUUUUGGGGGCUUACUUUGAGAACUCCCAGUCCUGUAUUUGACCUUGUUGGAAAGUUCCUCAAGACUAUGAGUGAGAAGGGGACAAUGUGGGAGUCCCACAGGGAGCGGAAAUGAGACCCAUUGGCUUGAUGGUAACUGCCAUACAUUGAGCAGGACCCUGUGCAAGGCUCUGUGCCAUCUACUUUCCAUGACUCAUUUAAUCCUGUCAAUAACCUUUUGAGUCAGAUUCUCUCAUUUCUUUUUCAAGGAGGAAAUCAAGAUUCUGACAGUCUUAGACUGCUCCAAAGCCACGCAGCUAGGGUGCUCCAGAGAGCGAAUAGCACCUGGCCAGACAGUGGUUCCACAUGGCUUUUUAAAGAAGUUCCAUGUCAGCAUGGACAGGACACAAGUGCAGGUAUGUAAUAUGGGAGCUGUAUGUAGCUUUUCAUCAAAAUCACCCAAGAUGUCCUGUGGAAAGAGUCACAUCCCUCUUUUACAGAAUUUUUUUUUUCAAUUGUCUUUUUCUUGAUUAGGAAAAAUCUCCACGUCUCUGCUCAGAAGCUCACCUGUUUCUAAUAAGAGAAGCUUUCCAUCCAAUUAGGAGCCCGAUCUCAGUUUUACAGGGGGAACUGAAAAUCUACCACUCACCAUCUAGAAAAUCAAAGUGUUUCCAAAUAGAAUUUAAGUCAAUACCACGCAAAUUCUAAUUCCCUAGAGGCAGCAGUUUUAAUUUCAAUAGUCUCUAAAAGCAGUAACAUUCAGUAGUUUUUGAGUAAAUUUUAGAUUCUCAAGGGUUUAGUUUCAGCAGCUUAAUGAAAUGUGAAUUUUGUCUGCUAAGAAGUGAGCUUCUCAGUGAGACUUGGUGAGUCUGAGGUCUGUGGUACUCCCCCUUUUGCCUUCAGCAGGCCAUGCUCAUUCCCGUGUUCUUUCUGGGCAUAUUUGUUGCCCAGAUUCUGCAGCAAGGAGAGAGUUGCUGCCUUGGGGUGAUUAUAAGUGAAUACUCAGGUCAUGGGUUGGGAGGGGCCUUGUAGGAACCACCAACAUCGAGUCUUUAAGGGAACUGCCACCAUGUAGUUGCCCAACUGUACAGGGUUUCCCCCACAAUGGUCCCUUACCUAACAGGCUGCUCUACAAAGCCAGGCUUGGACUCCCAGAACUCAGAGGUACAGUUGGAGGCCCCGCAAGCCUUCCAGUGUCACAUGCUGCCCCUGGCAGCUCGGUGCUCCUUGCCAUGGGCCUACCUGGGUCUUCCACUCAGCAGUGAACAGCCAAGGGAAGGUAGUGGACGUCAAACCCGGCCUGCGGGCCCUACCAUGGCAGAGUGAUAAAGGCAUGAGCCUUCAUCUGUGGAGUGAGACCGGAUGGAGCUCAGGAGUCACCGCGAGCUUACCAGGCCAAGUCCUUCAAAAACUCCACACUUAACCCGUUAGAAAGAGUGAGUAUUUUCAGUAUUUUAUUAACAGAUGAGCUGGUAAGAGGACAAGGGAUCUGGUAAUAUCACCCCACCCUCACAGAGCAGCCACCACAAGCCUGCCAUGAGUCUCCACAAAAACCUUGGAGGAGUCACAUCCCACACUGCGCACACCCCAGUACCUCCAGCUGUGAACGGGGGCCAGUAUCCAUACAUGGGGAAGUGCUGAGAAGGAAGAAAAUAUUUCAGGUCUAAUACUUAUCCAUCAAGCACCUUUUAGUCACGAAGCUUGGCACCAACUUUAUGCCAUAUCCUCAGCUCUUCAGUGAAAACAGCAGUGGCCGACUCGCUCCUGCUGGUCCUUAUGGGAGGCGUUGGGAUGGGAUGAGGCUGGCCUCUGUUCUGCUCACAGCUUUAUUCCUCUAGCUUCAGAUAAAAAUAAUUACAAUAUGCAGUAAAGUCCCUUCACAGUGUAUUUAGAGUAACAACAGCUCACAAGACACAUUCUCUUUCUGCAGAAGUGUAGCAGGUAGUUAGGGAGUUUGCUGACCAGAGCCUCUGCACAGGAAGCUGGCUUGCAUCGUGGAAGUAGUGGACACCUGACGGUCCUGCUUCCACAAGGCCCCUUUAAGACACUGACACAGAAGAUGUUUCCAGAGUGGCAUUUGCUGCUGAGGCUCUGGGGCAAAGACUCCAUGCACAGGAAAGCAUCCUCUCAGAAACAGAUGAUCCGCUUCUCAUCUUCAUAGACUUUGGCCUCCUCUGGCUUUAUCAGGUUUCCAUUUAGGCUGUUGAAAGGAGGAAAACAAAAGUGCACAGGUAAAAUGUUAAGGACUCUCACAGGAUCCUUUCCAAGGCGUGUUCAUAGCACACACUUGUGCAUCGCACAACCCUGAAAUUAAGGAACACACUCUUCAGAUAGUUCUUUCAUAUUAGCAUGGAUCCUCUCCAGCUGCCAUCCCUCUGUUCACUGGGUCUCACUAAGGUCACCUGUAGCCUCCAUAAGCCUGAAUGUCAUGAUAUUUUUCAGGUCUUGUCUUUCUUGGCCCUCAAAGGAUUUUGGCUGUCCUGACUUCUAUUUCUCCUGCAUCUGGGCACUCUACCUCCAUUUCCUUCCCUGUAUUCUCCUCCAUGUGACCUCUACAUCUGAGAUUUCUCCAGGCUUGGGGCUAGGCCCUUUUCCCCAGCCGAUCUCAUCAAUGCCAUGGCCUCGUUCAUAUGUUAGUGGAGGCAGUUACCUGCUUGGCAUCCUCACUUGGACCUCUCCCCUGCACCUCAAAGUAGCCACACCUCCUAGGAUCCCCUGGCUUAGUGAAUGGACCACGCGCAUCCUGCUGUGCAGGUUAGUAACCGGGGGGUCAAGCUGAACACCUUCCUUCUCAUCCCCAUGUUCCUUCCAUCACAAAGUUCUGUCCUAAUUCCUAAGCAUCUAGACUGCCUCCCUGGAGCCUCUCUAUCUUCAGCCCGCCAUCCUGGUCUGAGCACCCAUCAUUGCUUCUCUGGAUCAGUACAAUGCCCUACCAACAGGUCAUUUCCACAUACUCUGGCCCUCUCCAAUCCAGUUUCCUAGAAGAGCCAAGAAUUGGUCUUUGUGCAGUGCAGAUCUGAUCACAUCCCUCUCCUGCUUCAAACUGUUCACUGACUUUCCAUCACUUUAAGGAUAAAGACCAAAGACACGCAUCAUGACCCACAGAUCUUUAUAGUCCAGUCCCUGCCUAUCUCAUCAGCUUCCUGGAGUCCCCUCUUCCACAGUCUGAACCCCAGGGCACAGCAGCUUCUUGCUGUUCUUCCAGGACACCACACUCUCUCCUGCCCCAGACCCUUUGCACAUGCUGUUCUGUACCUGGAAUACUCACCUCACCUGACUAACUGCUAUUCAUCCCUCAUGGCUAAGUGUAAGUGCUGCUUCCUCAGAGAGGCCCUCCCUGUAACCUCAUCUAAAUCAUGUUCCCUCUUGGCCUUCCCUUUGUAGUUCCCAUCACAGUUGUAAUUACAUAGCUACGCAAAUGACGUUUUUUUCUUUAAUGUGCGUCUCGCUUACUAGACAGUGAACUCAUGAAGCCAUUUUGUUCACCACUGGAUUUUUGGUGCUAGCACAGUCCCUGGUCCUCAAGCAUUUUCUUAUUCGAGGAAUAAAUGAAGUCACAGGGCUAUACCCUAGAGCCACGGUCUGGAGGAGAUGGCCUCACAGAACGCUGUUACACUGGAGUGGAAUACAUUUCUAUAAUUUACGAUAUUCAUUGUACACCUCUAAUUUCUGUCCUUACAGGCAGAACUUACCAAUGGACUUCAGACUUCCAACUUAUUUUCAGAAAGGAAUGAGGCAGAAAUAAGAGUCAGUACAGAUAACAAGUCCAAGGAGAAGGCUCACUCUAGGCUCAUAAUCAAAAUAUCUGGGAGACUACCAAUCUGAACAACAAAUCCUAAGAAACACAUCAUCAUGG